UACCAGCACCCCGAGUGGUCGGGACGAUUAUUGGGCCUAAAGCCUCCGUAGCCGGUUCUACAAGUCUACCGUUAAAUCCACCUGCUUAACAGAUGGGCUGCGGAGGAUACUAUAGAGCUAGGAGGCGGGAGAGGCAAGCGGUACUUAGUGGGUAGGGGUAAAAUCCGUUGAUCCAUUGAAGACCACCAGUGGCGAAGGCGGCUUGCCAGAACGCACUCGACGGUGAGGGAUGAAAGCUGGGGGAGCAAACCGG
rnacentral:rRNA from 1 species